rnacentral:rRNA from 1 species
CCUACGGGAGGCAGCAUUGAGGAAUAUUGGUCAAUGGACGAGAGUCUGAACCAGCCAAGUAGCGUGAAGGAUGACUGCCCUAUGGGUUGUAAACUUCUUUUAUAUGGGAAUAAAAUGUUCCACGUGUGGGAUUUUGUAUGUACCAUAUGAAUAAGGAUCGGCUAACUCCGUGCCAGCAGCCGCGGUAAUACGGAGGAUCCGAGCGUUAUCCGGAUUUAUUGGGUUUAAAGGGAGCGUAGGUGGAUUGUUAAGUCAGUUGUGAAAGUUUGCGGCUCAACCGUAAAAUUGCAGUUGAAACUGGCAGUCUUGAGUACAGUAGAGGUGGGCGGAAUUCGUGGUGUAGCGGUGAAAUGCUUAGAUAUCACGAAGAACUCCGAUUGCGAAGGCAGUUCACUGGACUGCAACUGACACUGAGGCUCGAAAGUGUGGGUAUCAAACAGGAUUAGAUACCCCAGUAGUC